rnacentral:ncRNA from 2 species
UGAUGAGGUAGAGGUUGCGGUGGCGAUCAGUACACCGGAGGAGGCGCAGCAGAGCGCCGAUGAUCCCGGCCGGAAAGGCGCACCCGCCGAAGCACGGCGUUCUCUGAACUGAACCCCGUGCUGGGACCGUCUCCGAAAGGAACGGAACUGUCACCUGCCGUAAGGCGGGUGUUGAGCUAUCUUCACG